AAUGAACGCUGGCGGCAGGCCUAACACAUGCAAGUCGAACGGAUCCUUCGGGAUUAGUGGCGGACGGGUGAGUAACGCGUGGGAACAUACCCAAAGGUACGGAAUAGCCUCGGGAAACUGGGAGUAAUACCGUAUGUGCUCGAAAGAGGAAAGAUUUAUCGCCUUUGGAUUGGCCCGCGUUGGAUUAGGUAGUUGGUGGGGUAAUGGCCUACCAAGCCGACGAUCCAUAGCUGGUUUGAGAGGAUGAGCAGCCACACUGGGACUGAGACACGGCCCAGAAUCCUACGGGAGGCAGCAGUGGGGAAUCUUAGACAAUGGGGGAAACCCUGAUCUAGCCAUGCCGCGUGAUCGAUGAAGGCCUUAGGGUUGUAAAGAUCUUUCAGGUGGGAAGAUAAUGACUGUACCACCAGAAGAAGCCCCGGCUAACUCCGUGCCAGCCGCCGCAGUAA
rnacentral:rRNA from 1 species